CAAAAAUGCAAAAAGCACUUGCUAAAACGGAGAAUCACAACGAAAAAUAAGAAAGAGCUUUUAAAGAUGUUAAGUGAAACGCAUUUAGUAAAUUGAAAGCAUCUUGCACCUAAAGCACAGACCGUAAAGACCUCAUCUUCAAGGCCAAUAUUGGAAGAUGUUGAGAUUGAUUUACAUGAAGAUUUUGAUAAAAAUGGAUCUCAUUUUGGAGAUGAGGAUGAAA
rnacentral:misc_RNA from 1 species